GAAUUUUGGACAAUGGGCGAAAGCCUGAUCCAGCAAUGCCGCGUGCAGGAUGAAGGCCUUCGGGUUGUAAAAUGCUCUUGUACGGAACGAAAAGCUUUGGGUUAAUACCCUGUAGUCAUGCCGUUACCGUAAGAAUAAGCACCGGCUACCUCCGUCCCAGCAGCCGCGGUAAUACGUAGGGUGCAAGCGUUAAGCGGAAUUACUGGGCGUAAAGCGUGCGCAGGCGGUUUUGUAAGACAGAGGUGAAAUCCCCGGGCUCAACCUGGGAACUGCCUUUGUGACUGCAAGGCUAGAGUACGGCAGAGGGGGGUGGAAUUCCGCGUGUAGCAGUGAAAUGCGUAGAUAUGCGGAGGAACACCGAUGGCGAAGGCAACCCCCUGGGCCUGUACUGACGCUCAUGCACGAAAGCAUGGGGAGCGAACA
rnacentral:rRNA from 1 species